CAGAAAUUCAGCUGUCCCCAUGCCUUGAGAUGUUUAUGUACCUCAUGCAGUACAUGUGACGUGUAUGUGGCAGUGCAAACAUUGUGUGGCAAGAGAGAGUAGUCUCCACAAUGACCCAGCCUAUGAGACUGAGGGUCAUCCUGGGUGACGAUGAUGCCAGAAAGCUAAUCCUGCCGGCAGGUAGACCAGGCUCCAUGGAGGAAUUGUACCAGACUAUAAAGAUGAGUUUUGGAUUAGAGCAAGAUUUCCAUCUUCAAUAUCAAGAUGCUGAUUUUGGAAAUGAGUUCAUAAAUCUGUCAGAGAUCUCUGACAUUGAUGACAAAGCGACUUUAAAGGUGGUCUAUGUUGUGGCAGUCUACUUGCAAAAUUCUACAGAAGAUGACUCGAUGCUUCAAC